rnacentral:rRNA from 1 species
GAUCAUGGCUCAGGAUUAACGCUGGCGGCAUGCCUAAUACAUGCAAGUCGAAUGGGGAGCUGCUCCCAUGGCGAACGGGUGAGUAAUACGUAGGUAACCUACCUUUAGGACGAGGAUAACCUUUGGAAACGAAGGAUAAUACUGGAUAGUAUAGAUUUCCGCAUGGAGAUAUAUUUAAAGAUUUAUCACCUAGAGAGGGGGCCUGCGGUGCAUUAGCUAGUUGGCGGGAUAAAAGCCCACCAAGGCGAUGAUGCAUAGCCGGACUGAGAGGUUGUACGGCCACAAUGGAACUGAGAACGGUCCAUACUCCUACGGGAGGCAGCAGUAGGGAAUUUUCGGCAAUGGGCGGAAGCCUGACCGAGCAAAAUGCCGCGUGAAUGAUGAAGUAUUUCGGUAUGUAAAGUUCUUUUAUCUAGGAAGAAAAAACAAAUUGACGGUACUAGAUGAAUAAGCUCCGGCUAACUACGUGCCAGCAGCAGC